rnacentral:lncRNA from 1 species
UUCUCUCUCGGGAACUUCAUGGCCCGGUCUUGCUCUUGACAAGGGGUGUAGUCCUUGAGCUUCACAUCACAUGGCUUGAAUGAAACUGGUUUUGGAUCAGCUAAUCUUUCAGGGAUCUUGACUGUGUUGUGAUGAGGUUUGAAGUCAAGGUCGGUGACGACGUCGGUGCAUUGAGCUUGCUUUGUUAUCUCCAUGGCUAUGCUGUCUCCUUUACCAAACCCACUCUUUUGCCAUGCUCCGAGAAGGUAGAAGAAACAGCAUAGACCAACCACAAGGAUUAGAGAUAGUGAACUUCUCGAUCUCGGUGGAUUAUUCUUAGAACCCAUUGAAACUCUCUCCUGAAGCAUUUAUAACAAAUCUCAGUAAAACACACACUCUACUAUGAGCUAACAAUGAUCAAGAUCUAAAAACCUAAACUUUAUCAGUUUAAAGAAUGAAAGAGGUUUAAAGAGUCUAACUUUAGCAACUGGAAUCAAAAACUCAGAACGGAUCUAGUUGAAAAAGAUGAGCUUUAGAGCUAACCUGGUUGAUGUAGAUCUUCUUGUUGCAGAGAGACUCUAAAUCUCUAUGUACCCUUAUUCAGAUCUCUGGUUUUUUAGCUCUGUUUCAGUGAUGAGACAGAGAGAGAAAGUCACUAAACUAAUGAUGUCUUCUUCCUCUUUCACUAAUCGAGAUUUGAUGAAGGCGCGUUCUAUUUAAUCAAUUUGAAAAAAAAAUGUGUUUACGAAAAUGAUUGAAUUAAAUGCGUGUAAGAUCUCAACAAUAUUAUUACAAUAGUCAUAGAUUUAGAUCUGGUCUUGCACAUGCAUCCAUAUGUUUUUUUUUUUUUCAAACCCUUUUGUGCGUUUGUUUAUGUAAAGGAUCUUUAAAAUAUUUUAACUGGUUUCACCAUUAUUGGAAUUAAAAAAACACUUGAAGUUUGUACAUAACAUACCUUUUUCUUUAUAUUAAACAAGAUCGAAACCAUAUUGUUAAACUUUUGCAUAAAACACCGUAGGUUUGAACCGCGUAAUCUUAAUAUUCUGCAAUUAAAAAAAGGCUUGCGAGUCAAGAUCUUGUCGUCCCAAGUGGUCCUUUUAAGACAGUUGACGAUUCUCCAUUUCUCCUUAGUUUAGAUCUCCUACCGACACUCACAUCUUACUUAACCGGCCACCGUCAAAAACCGAGUUAAAUCGGUUCAAUGCUAAACAAUAUUUAUUGGAAGGUCUAGCUAGUCUUUGAAAAUAUACGAGUCGACAUGUCGAAAGUUUCAUAAAUCGUUAAAAAAGGUCGAUAGACCCAUAAAAAAUCUUUGAUUUAAUACUAUAAUAAUCAUGUUCAAUCUUAAAGAAACCGGUACAACAUCGCGGUUAGUCAUGAAUCGCCGAAAAGACCAAUGUACAUGGACCCUUGACAACUAAACAAUUUAAUGUAUGAAAAGAUUACAGGCUUUUAAGGCCCAACUUUUCUUGAAAUAUUUAUCAGUUUUUUUAUCAAUUGAACUUGUGUUUGAACUUUGAACAAGUGGGUUUUAUAAUUUGUUCUUGAUGUGUCUAGAGAUGGAACACAAGGCACUACAAAUAAAUUUAGGAAGAACAUACUAAGUAAUUAAUAUACUAGUAGUAAAUGAAAUAGUUGACAAUCAACACUCGAGAACAAAGAAAGUGUCAGUCAAGUCAUGUUUUGAUGAUAUAAAAAGAGAUCUCCCACAUGCAAAAACUGUAAUAGAAAAGGUGAAAAUAUUUGAGAGGUUGUUAGGUUUCAGGCAGUGUAAGCGCUCUUUGCGCCUCUGUCCAGCUUCUUCGCAUCCUCCUGAAGAGAAACCAAACCAAUACACACAAUACAACAAGUAGUGAGCGAUCCAAAGAAGAAAAAAAAACAGAAAUUAGCAACAACUGAAACACUCUACUCUUACAUGGAUGAUGAAACCAAUGCUGCUGUUGUAAUCAAGAAACUCCUUCCAUUGUCUCCCAAUGCUCACCUGUAACAUUAAAUAAAAUUAAAUUUCCACGUCCUUUUUUCAGACCGAGAGAGAUACACAGUUCGAUGGGGGUUCUUUUUUUGUCUUGUACCUGAGCAGCUUCGUUGGAAGAGUUUUUAGUCCAAAUAGAUAUCCUUUCUUGCUUAGCUCUAACGUUAACAACAACUCCACAGAUUUCAUCUCCAUGGUCAAACUGUUCUCCAAUCAAAGCAAGCAACUAUAAGUGACAACAACAACAACAACCCGAUUAGACUGGAGACUGGAUGGUGUGAAACAAGAACUAUAUGAAUGUCAAGUUACAUACGGUGUAAAGAAAGGGCUUAUCAGACUUCUCCCUAGAGAAGUUCAUAGUCCACUUGCCUCCGUUGGCACAGAUAGGAUCCUCCCACUUAGGUUCAAUAUUGUGUUUGAAAUAGUACAAGUCAGCUCCGUUAGCUAACUUGCUCGGAUGCCGAAUGUUAUUGUACAAACUGCAAUGUCACAUAUAAUAAGAAGCCAAUAAAAUAGCAUCCAACAAGUAACUGUUUGUUCAAACACCAAACAGGCAAUUCUUCAUAGACAGAGAAGAACAGUGACUUCAUGAGAUUUAAACCCACCCAUAAAGAAGAUAACUUUCCUGUGAGAAAUCGAAAUCUAAACAAAACCCAGAUUGUGGAAUUACAUUAAGAAGGAAAAAGAUUGUUGUAAAGCUACCAACCUCCAGAACUCCUCGACGGUGGAGAAGGUGAAGACGGAUCGUAAGGAGCUUCCCCAAGUCGUCUGCUUUGAUUUGACGGAAGGGUUAUCGAACCAGAGAGUCCACGAAUGCUCCAACGGAUGCGAUUCAGGGACGGCGGAUUUGCCCGAUUCGUCUACGAUCGCUCCUUCCUCGGCAUCGUCGCCUUCCUCAUGGUAUCGAUCGAUCGGGUGAUCUACAGAAUUGGGAUUCGAUUCUUCCGUAGGGACGUUAGGCUUGAGAGUGUCUUCUACCGCCAUCGUCUCUCCCUCUCCGUCUUCUCUUCUCCGAACGAUGUAACUUCUUCUUGUAAAGGGGUUGGUCAAGAUACGACGUCGUUUUCUUCGCUUAACAUUCUCAUAUGCAUAUUGGGCUAACAAUCUCUUAAUAGGCCUUUUUAAAUUGGGCUUUCACUUGUUCGGGUUUGGUCAAGAUACCAUUUUUUUGUUCUAAUUUAUUUAUUCGCAGAGACUUUACGUUACACUGAUAAAUCCAACGGGUCUUGGAGUUGUGCAAUCUGAAAAAGUUGAAUUCAUUCCGGCUAAACUCUAAUAAGAUAAUUGCAGACCAAAAAGGCUAAAUCUUUGAGAUAAACUGAACUGCAAUAGUUUAGGAACCGGUCUUAAAAUAGUCUGCCUAAAACCAAAACUCAUGUUUUGUUGAUUGCAAACACAAACAAUAAACAAAAUCGUCUUACAAAAGGGAAAUGCAACAAACCAAAAAAAAAUAACCAAGUAAAAUCCCAAAUGGCUUGAUUGUUACUUCACUCGUCUUCUUGGCUACGGAGCCUAGCAAGCCUGUUGGUAACUACAAUAUCCAACUGAGAAGCUCUCUCCACAAUAGCCUUCCUCUUCUUGGUCGAAACGUUGUGAGCAAUCUCAGCGCAGUAGGUCCUGUUGUGCAUCAUCAACAACUCGAGGUCACUCGUGUUGUGCACAACGAACUUCUUGAAUCCAUUGGGGAGAUAGUGACGAGUCUUCUUGUCUGAUCCGUAACCCACAUUGGGCAUCAAUGUCACACCCUUGAACUUUCUUCUAACCCUUGAGUCAAUACCCUUUGGCCUCCUCCAGCUCUCCUGAAAAAAUCAGACAAACAAUGUGUUCACAGAGACAAUAACCAAAACAAAAGAUUAAAGACAAAAAAAAUAUGUUUUGUCCUAAAGAUGCAAACCUCUCUUGAUACUCAAGUCAGCCACCAUAUUUCAUCAGAGACAAGUUAAUUAUCGUAACGUUUCUACAGAUAGAGAAUGGUCCACUAAAAGGAACAAGUAAUGGUUCUGUAAGAUCGAACGGAGAAAGUGGUUACCUUGACGGUGAUUCUACGGUCGCUCUGGGGUCUGAUGAACUUGGCAGACCUCUUCUUCACCACCUUCUUCGUAAGCAACGGGACCGCCAUUUUCUUUUCUUUUUUUGCUGCUUCCUAAGGUUGAUCUCAAUGCGACGGGAGACUCUGAAAACAGCAGCUAGAAACCUAAAAUGCGUUUUAAAGGAGAUAACUAGGGUUUCCUAUGACACAAGAUAAUGGGCUUUGUUUUUGGCCCAAUAAAAUAUUUGUUUUGGGCCUACAUUACCCUGUAACCUAAUAUGUAGAUUUUUGCUUUCUUCUUUCUUGGAAUUUAAUAUCUUACACAUGUAAUAAAAUGAGUUCCAUUUUAUGUAAUAGACUAAUAGUUAUUGGGUAUUAUUAUAUCUACUGGUAAGAUGUCAAACCGGCAUGAAUGGCUCGAGUACAAAAAAUAAAAUGGCUCCCAAAUGAGCUAGACGGACCUAAUUUUAUCUGGAACAAAAAAAGCGGGCUGGACCUUGAUUAACAAUUAAAAGUUGUAAAUUUUGUUGAUGACUCUCUCACUAAAAUUCUCUCCCCUUUUACCAAAAAAAAAACUUCUCUCCCAAAUCUCCCAAAUGUACCAAUGAUUUUGUUUCCUUAGAUUGGUUAAUGUAAAUAUGUUGACAAUUUAUCUAUUUAAAAAAAAAAUAUAUAUGUUGACAAUUUAUCUAUUUUAAUAGAUAAGAUGUAUCGACAAGCUUAUUUAAUUAUAAAUAUGUUGACAAUCUAUACAUUUUAAUGUAAUAAUUAUUUACUAUUUUUAAUAUAAAACUAUGUAGAGAUCCGCAGAAUGAGAAAGCUUAUACAAAAAUUUAUGUUACAUAAUACUAGUAAAUAUAUGUCUUAUAUUUAUUGUUACAAUAUAAAGUUCGGUGUUUAGGAAAUGUAUUUGGGCUGAAUUUUUCUGAUUCAAUUUGGUAAAUUUUCGAGCAAAUCGAACUAACCAAGACUGAGGCUUCGAAUGUUACAAACCGACCCGUCCCGCACUGCAGUUAACAGUAACAAAAAUCUCUACAUAUACCAUAUAUCUAUACGUUUUUAUAACUGUUAAAACCGCACCGCAGUUAAACCGUUUGUCUCACACCGCUCAAACCGCAGUUACCAUUCGGAAGUAAACCUAAACGAACUGAACCCACAUGCCUACUUGUUGAAAUUUAAAAUAUUUCACUAUUUUUGGAUUUUUUUGCUUCUAGUUCGGGUUGUACCCUACCCCGAAAGCACCAAGCUCUUAAGUCCCGUUCAGAUAUUUUUGUAUAAUAUGGGGUUUUAUUUUCGGUUAAGGUUGGAAGCUUCGGUUUGGGGUAAAAACGCGUAGGCCUAGUCAGAAUCAAGAAAUGAAAACAUGAACAUACCCCACAUCCAGUGUCCAAUGCAGUUCUAACAGAACCAUCUUUGAUUGGGAUAACAGAAGCCAGCUCAUCGAUAUAAGCAUCAGCACCUUGAGGGAACAUAGUACCUCCACCAGGGAACUUAAACACACUCCCUUGAAACUGAACCCAGUUCUGACCAGCCUUCUCCACAGUCAAGCUCUUGAAAGGAGCAUUAGCGUAAUGAACAUAGUCUCUGCUCUUAGGCCAAGGGAAAGGAGUCAUGUAACCCUUAGGAGCCGGGACAAGACAGCGGAGCUUCUCAUUCUCAGGAGGACAAUGUCUCUCUCUGUAGAUCAUGUUCUCUCUCGGGAACUUCAUGGCCCGGUCUUGCUCUUGACAAGGGGUGUAGUCCUUGAGCUUCACAUCACAUGGCUUGAAUGAAACUGGUUUUGGAUCAGCUAAUCUUUCAGGGAUCUUGACUGUGUUGUGAUGAGGUUUGAAGUCAAGGUCGGUGACGACGUCGGUGCAUUGAGCUUGCUUUGUUAUCUCCAUCGCUAUGCUGUCUCCUUUACCGAACCCACUCUUUUGCCAUGCUCCGAGAAGGUAGAAGAAACAGCAUAGACCAACCACAAGGAUUAGAGAUAGUGAACUUCUCGAUCUCGGUGGAUUAUUCUUAGAACCCAUUGAAACUCUCUCCUG